rnacentral:rRNA from 1 species
AUACGUAGGAAGCGAGCGUUAUCCGGAAUUACUGGGCGUAAAGCGCGCGUAGGUGGUCUUUCAAGUCGAAUGUGAAAUUUCCCGGCUUAACCGGGAAGGGUCGUUCGAUACUGUUGGACUAGAGAGCGGCAGGGGGAAGCGGAAUUCCCGGUGUAGUAGUGAAAUGCGUAGAUAUCGGGAGGAACACCAGUGGCGAAGGCGGCUUCCUGGGCUGUUUCUGACACUGAGGCGCGAAAGUGUGGGGAGCGAACAGAAUUAGAUACUCUGGUAGUCCACACUGUAAACGAUGGGUACUAGGUAUAGGGAGUAUCGACCCUCUUUGUGCCGAAGCUAACGCUUUAAGUACCCCGCCUGGGGACUACGGCCGCAAGGCUAAAACUCAAAGGAAUUGACGGGG